rnacentral:misc_RNA from 1 species
GAAAUGCGAUAAGUAGUGUGAAUUGCAGAAUUCAGUGAAUCAUCGAAUCUUUGAACGCACAUUGCGCCCCUCGGUAUUCCGUGGGGCAUGCCUGUUCGAGCGUCAUCUACACCCUCAAGCUCUGCUUGGUGUUGGGCGUCUGUCCCGCCGACGCCUCCCCUGCGUAGUAGCAACACCUCGCACCGGAGCGCGGCGCGGCCCACGCCGUAAAACCCCCGACGUACCUGAAGUUUGACCUCGGAUCAGGUAGGAAUACCCGCUGAACUUAAGC